rnacentral:rRNA from 1 species
UACGGGGGGGGCAAGCGUUGUUCGGAAUUACUGGGCGUAAAGCGCACGUAGGCGGCUUUGCAAGUUAGAGGUGAAAGCCCGGGGCUCAACUCCGGAAUUGCCUUUAAGACUGCAUCGCUAGAACGUCGGAGAGGUAAGUGGAAUUCCGAGUGUAGAGGUGAAAUUCGUAGAUAUUCGGAAGAACACCAGUGGCGAAGGCGACUUACUGGACGACUGUUGACACUGAGGUGCGAAAGCGUGGGGAGCAAACAGG